UCGGACGUGGUGUGCGGCAUACGUCCACCUCUUGUUGAAGCUUAGAAACUCAGUUGGUAGGUGGAAGUCCGGGUUCGACUCCUGGCGUCCGAA